rnacentral:rRNA from 1 species
GAUGAACGCUAGCGGCAGGCUUAACACAUGCAAGUCGAGGGGCAACGAGAGUAGCAAUACUUGUCGGCGACCGGCGCAAGGGUGCGUAACACGUGAGCAACAUACCCAAAUCAGGAGGAUAACCGGAGGAAACUCUGCCUAAUACUCCAUAAUAUCAUCUUAUGGCAUCAUGAAAUGAUAAAAGAUUUAUCGGAUUCGGAUUGGCUCGCGGGACAUUAGCUAGUUGGCGAGGUAACGGCUCACCAAGGCUACGAUGUCUAGGGGUUCUGAGAGGAAGGUCCCCCACACUGGAACUGAGACACGGUCCAGACUCCUACGGGAGGCAGCAGUGAGGAAUAUUGGACAAUGGUCGGAAGACUGAUCCAGCCAUGCCGCGUCGAAGGUUACCUGUCCUAUGGAUAUUAAACUUCUUUUUACGGGAGCAAUAAGGUGCACGCGUGCAUCGAUGAGAGUACCGUACGAAUAAGCAUCGGCUAACUCCGUCG